rnacentral:rRNA from 1 species
UUGAAAUAAACCUGAUGGGUUGCUGCUGGCUCUCUAGGGAGCAUGUGCACACUUGUCAUCUUUAUAUCUUCCCCUGUGCACCUUUUGUAGACCUGGAUAUCUUUCUGAAUGCCUGGCAUUCGGGUUUGAGGAUUGACUUUUUUGUCUUUUCUUACAUUUCCAGGCCUAUGUUUUCUUCAUAUACACCAUGUAUGUUAUAGAAUGUAAUGAAAAAGGCCUUUGUGCCUACAAACCUAUACAACUUUCAGCAACGGAUCUCUUGGCUCUCGCAUCGAUGAAGAACGCAGCGAAAUGCGAUAAGUAAUGUGAAUUGCAGAAUUCAGUGAAUCAUCGAAUCUUUGAACGCACCUUGCGCUCCUUGGUAUUCCGAGGAGCAUGCCUGUUUGAGUGUCAUUAAUAUAUCAACCUCUUCAAGUUUUUACUUGUUGAGUGUUUGGAUUUGGGGGUCUCUUUUGCUGGUCUCUAUUGAGGUCGGCUCCCCUGAAAUGCAUUAGCGGAACAAUUUGUUGACCCGUUCAUUGGUGUGAUAACUAUCUACGCUAUUGACGUGAAGCAGGUUCAGCUUCUAACAGUCCAUUGACUUGGACAAAUUUUCAUUAAUGUGACCUCAAAU